rnacentral:lncRNA from 1 species
AGAAAUGGGCAUAGGUCAGUUUCCUUUAUUUUCUGAAUACUCAUACGGAAUCAGAGUUACAGAGUCAUUACAAGCCAACUCAACAAUGGAUGGACAUGCCCCAUCCAUAGUAGAUUACUAAUACUAAUCUGAUGCACCUGGGCAGCAAGACCAUGAGUCGGCGCACUGCGCCCUCUACCAAUUUGCAGGAACUUACACAGGAGAUAAACCAAGAAGGAAAUUUACGAACAUCAGUGUAGAUGUUGUGGCUUCUACAUGCUGGGGCUACAUCACAAUGAGCAGAAUCAGAUCCGAACUCAUCAGGGGAAGUGCAAUGAUCAAGCGUCAAGUGCACAUCAAACUUCAGAGUGCUCUCACUUCAUAGUUCUGAAACAAUUCUCAAGUUCCUGCCUCCUGGUUAGCAGCAAAGGGGAUCUUGCCAUGGUGAUAUCUUGACAUAACACCUGCAGAAGCUGCAAAUAUAACACAUGAAAAUUCAAAAUAAUGACAACGAACCUAUAAAUUAUUCUUAAUAAGUGGCAACAUCUAAUAAUUUAGUUACAUUGUACGAACAUGGAAACUUACAGUUUAACUCCAUUAUAUUUCUUUUGUAAGCAAGGAAUGGGUGCAGAAAUGUUUCAAUCACCCGACUUGUUCUUUAUUUUUGUAACCUACAAAUCAACAAAUUUAAAUAUAUUAUUCACACUGAUCAAUCUUAUCUCCAUUCUUUAAUUGAAAAAAAAAAUCAGAAAUUCAGAGAAGUUGAAGUACUCACGGUGCUGCUGCCUACUGAGUACCGUAUGCUGAUGCACUGAUGCUACGGUCGGUGCUAAUCGCCGGCGCAAUAGCGGAAGAGCCGUGGAGGCGUGAAGUGUUCCACCUGCCGGCGUGUGCUCUUUUGAGGCCGUGGCUGCCGGAUUCAGGCGCCGCCAUGGCUGCUGAUGACGAUUGGGCUGG